rnacentral:rRNA from 1 species
CGAACAGAGGGAGGCAAAGCCGCGAGGCAGAGCAAACCCCUAAAAGCCAUCCCAGUUCGGAUUGCAGGCUGCAACCCGCCUGCAUGAAGUUGGAAUCGCUAGUAAUCGCGGAUCAGCAUGCCGCGGUGAAUACGUUCCCGGGCCUUGUACACACCGCCCGUCACACCAUGAGAGUCGGGAACACCCGAAGUCCGUAGCCUAACCGCAAGGAGGGCGCGGCCGAAGGUGGGUUCGAUAAUUGGGGUGAAGUCGUAACAAGGUACC